AGUGGCGCACGGGUGCGUAACGCGUGAGCAACCUACCUCUAUCAGGGGGAUAGCCUCUCGAAAGAGAGAUUAACACCGCAUAACAUCAACAGUUCGCAUGUUCGGUUGAUUAAAUAUUUAUAGGAUAGAGAUGGGCUCGCGUGACAUUAGCUAGUUGGUAGGGUAACGGCUUACCAAGGCGACGAUGUCUAGGGGCUCUGAGAGGAGAAUCCCCCACACUGGUACUGAGACACGGACCAGACUCCUACGGGAGGCAGCAGUAAGGAAUAUUGGUCAAUGGGCGGAAGCCUGAACCAGCCAUGCCGCGUGCAGGAAGACUGCCCUAUGGGUUGUAAACUGCUUUUGUCCAGGAAUAAACCCAGAUACGUGUAUCUGGCUGAAUGUACUGGAAGAAUAAGGAUCGGCUAACUCCGUGCCAGCAGCCGCGGUAAUACGGAGGAUCCGAGCGUUAUCCGGAUUUAUUGGGUUUAAAGGGUGCGUAGGCGGCCAAUUAAGUCAGGGGUGAAAUACGGUGGCUCAACCAUCGCAGUGCCUUUGAUACUGAUUGGCUUGAAUCCAUUUGAAGUGGGCGGAAUAAGACAAGUAGCGGUGAAAUGCAUAGAUAUGUCUUAGAACUCCGAUUGCGAAGGCAGCUCACUAAGCUGGUAUUGACGCUGAUGCACGAAAGCGUGGGGAUCGAACAGGAUUAGAUACCCUGGUAGUCCACGCCCU
rnacentral:rRNA from 1 species